GAUGAACGCUGGCGGCGUGCUUAACACAUGCAAGUCGAACGAACCUUCGGGUUAGCGGCGGACGGGUGAGUAACGCGUGGGAAUCUGCCCUCAGGAGGGGGAUAACAGUUGGAAACGACCGCUAAUACCCCAUAUGCCGAGAGGUGAAAUGAAUUUCGCCUGAGGAUGAGCCCGCGUCUGAUUAGCUUGUUGGUGAGGUAAUGGCUCACCAAGGCAUCGAUCAGCAGCUGGUCUGAGAGGAUGAUCAGCCACACUGGGACUGAGACACGGCCCAGACUCCUACGGGAGGCAGCAGUGGGGAAUUUUCCGCAAUGGGCGAAAGCCUGACGGAGCAACGCCGCGUGAGGGACGAAGGCCUCUGGGCUGUAAACCUCUUUUCUCAAGGAAGAAGAUAUGACGGUACUUGAGGAAUAAGCCACGGCUAAUUCCGUGCCAGCAGCCGCGGUAAUACGGGAGUGGCAAGCGUUAUCCGGAAUUAUUGGGCGUAAAGCGUCCGCAGGCGGCCUUUCAAGUCUGCUGUUAAAACGUGGAGCUUAACUCCAUCAUGGCAGUGGAAACUGAUUGGCUUGAGUAUGGUAGGGGCAGAGGGAAUUCCCGGUGUAGCGGUGAAAUGCGUAGAUAUCGGGAAGAACACCAGUGGCGAAGGCGCUCUGCUGGGCCAUUACUGACGCUCAUGGACGAAAGCCAGGGGAGCGAAAGGGAUUAGAUACCCCUGUAGUCCUGGCCGUAAACGAUGAACACUAGGUGUCGGGGGAAUCGACCCCUUCGGUGUCGUAGCUAACGCGUUAAGUGUUCCGCCUGGGGAGUACGCACGCAAGUGUGAAACUCAAAGGAAUUGACGGGGGCCCGCACAAGCGGUGGAGUAUGUGGUUUAAUUCGAUGCAACGCGAAGAACCUUACCAGGGCUUGACAUCCUGCGAACCUUUAAGAAAUUAGAGGGUGCCUUCGGGAACGCAGUGACAGGUGGUGCAUGGCUGUCGUCAGCUCGUGUCGUGAGAUGUUGGGUUAAGUCCCGCAACGAGCGCAACCCACGUUUUUAGUUGCCAGCAUUUAGUUGGGCACUCUAGAAAGACCGCCGGUGAUAAACCGGAGGAAGGCGUGGAUGACGUCAAGUCAUCAUGCCCCUUACGUCCUGGGCUACACACGUACUACAAUGCUACGGACAAAGGGCAGCAAACUCGCGAGAGCUAGCAAAUCCCAUAAACCGUGGCUCAGUUCAGAUCGUAGGCUGCAACUCGCCUACGUGAAGUAGGAAUCGCUAGUAAUCGCAGGUCAGCAUACUGCGGUGAAUACGUUCCCGGGCCUUGUACUCACCGCCCGUC
rnacentral:rRNA from 1 species